UAAGGAAUAUUGGUCAAUGGACGCAAGUCUGAACCAGCCAUGCCGCGUGAAGGAUUAAGGUCCUCUGGAUUGUAAACUUCUUUUAUCUGGGACGAAAAAAGGCGAUUCUUCGUCACUUGACGGUACCAGAUGAAUAAGCACCGGCUAACUCCGUGCCAGCAGCCGCGGUAAUACGGAGGGGUGCAAGCGUUAUCCGGAUUCACUGGGUUUAAAGGGUGCGUAGGCGGGGCAGGUAAGUCAGUGGUGAAAUCCUGGAGCUUAACNCCGAACUGCCAUUGAUACUAUCUGUCUUGAAUAUUGUGGAGGUAAGCGGAAUAUGUCAUGUAGCGGUGAAAUGCUUAGAUAUGACAUAGAACACCUAUUGCGAAGGCAGCUUACUACGCAUAUAUUGACGCUGAGGCACGAAAGCGUGGGGAUCAAACAGGAUUAGAUACCCUGGUAGUCCACGCCCUAAACGAUGGAUACUCGACAUACGCGAUACACUGUGUGUGUCUGAGCGAAAGCAUUAAGUAUCCCCACCUGGGGAAGUACGACCGCAAGGUUGAAACUCAAAUGAAUUGACGGGGUCAUAGCUGUUUCCUG
rnacentral:rRNA from 1 species